UUAUUACUCCCUCCGUUCCGAAUUACUUGUUGCAGAUAUGGAUGUAUCUAGAUGUAUUUUAGUUCUAGAUACAUCCAUUUCUGCGACGAGUAAUUUGGAACGGAGGGAAUAGGUU
rnacentral:pre_miRNA from 1 species